rnacentral:rRNA from 1 species
UACGUAGGUGGCGAGCGUUGUCCGGAUUUAUUGGGCGUAAAGCGCGCGCAGGCGGUCGCGUAAGUCUGCUGUGAAAUCCCCGGGCUUAACCUGGGAACUGCAUUUGUGACUGCAUCGCUGGAGUGCGGCAGAGGGGGAUGGAAUUCCGCGUGUAGCAGUGAAAUGCGUAGAUAUGCGGAGGAACACCGAUGGCGAAGGCAAUCCCCUGGGCCUGCACUGACGCUCAUGCACGAAAGCGUGGGGAGCAAACAGG